rnacentral:lncRNA from 1 species
GAGGCCACGCCCACACGCCCCAAGCCACGCCCACAAACCCGAAGCCACGCCCACACCACCUUUGACCACACCCCUACAGUGCCCUCAAAGCCACGCCCACUCUCAGGCCACGCCCACACGCCCCAAGCCACGCCCACCCACUCCUCCAUUGAGCACCACAGCGCUGCGCUGAGGCCACGCCCACACGCCCCAAGCCACGCCCACAACACUCUCCCCACACCCAGACCAGCCAAUCGCAGCCCCCGCCCACACGCCACCUCUAUCCAAGAUUUGGGCCCGCCCACAGAAUCCCAGCCAAUCACAAAGCCUGGUCCACAGCCCUGGCCCCGCCCACAGCCCUGGCCCCGCCCACUCACUGCACUUUGGUGGCGAAGGGCUCGAGGGCGGCGUAGGGCAGCGCCGGGGACAGCACCAGGCGGGGGGGGCCGGGGGGCGGGGCCGUCCCUCCCACCACCUCCUCAUUGGUUGGGCGGCACAGCACGGAGGCGGGGCCUGCAGGAAAAGGGGCGGGGCUUCGCUCAGCCCAAUUGGGGACCUUGCAACCAGCCCUCUCUUUUCUCAUAUGCUCCCAUUGACCCCAAUGUUCCCAAGUGCCCCAAUGACCCCAUUUCCCCCACUGUCCCCAUUGUCCCCAUUGUCCCCCACUGUCCCCAUUUCCCCCAGUGUCCCCAUUGUCCCCAUCUCCCGCAUUGUCCCCAAUGUCCCCAUUUCUCCCAAUGCCCCCAUUUCUCCCAUUGUUCCCAAUGCCCCCAUUUCCCCCAGUGCCCCCAAUGGACCCAUUUCCCCCAAUGGACCCAUUUCCCCCAAUGCCCCCAAUGCCCCCAUUUCCCCCCAUGCCCCCCAUUGUUCCCAAUGUCCCCAUCUCCCCCAAUGUCCCCAUUGUCCCCCAAUGCUCCCAAUGUCCCCAUGUCCCUCAAUGACCCCAUUUUCCCCAAUUCCCCCAUUGUCCCCAUUUCCCCCAAUGCCCCCAAUGUCCACAUUUCCCCCAGUGUCCCCAUUGUCCCCAUCUCCCCCAAUGUCCCCAUUUCCCCCAAUGCCCCCAUUGUCCCCAUCUCCCCCAUUGUCCCCAAUGUCCCCAUUUCCCCCAAUGCCCCCAUUUCCCCCAAUGCCCCCAUU